rnacentral:rRNA from 1 species
GAUGAACGCUAGCUACAGGCUUAACACAUGCAAGUCGAGGGGAAACGAUAUUGGAAGCUUGCUUCCGAUAGGCGUCGACCGGCGCACGGGUGAGUAACGCGUAUCCAACCUGCCCAUCACUUGGGAAUAACCUUGCGAAAGUAAGACUAAUGCCCAAUGACAUUUAUAGAAGGCAUCUGAAAUGAAUUAAAGAUUUGUCGGUGAUGGAUGGGGAUGCGUCUGAUUAGCUUGUUGGCGGGGUAACGGCCCCACCAAGGCAACGAUCAGUAGCCGGACUGAGAGGAAGGUCCCCCACAUUGGAACUGAGACACGGUCCAAACUCCUACGGGAGGCAGCAGUGAGGAAUAUUGGUCAAUGGGCGAGAGCCUGAACCAGCCAAGUAGCGUGCAGGAAGACGGCCCUAUGGGUUGUAAACUGCUUUUAUAGGGGAAUAAAGUGAGCCACGUGNGGUUUUUUGCAUGUACCCUAUGAAUAAGGACCGGCUAAUUCCGUGCCAGCAGCCG